GACGAACCGUGCGAACGUUAUUCGGAAUCACUGGGCUUAAAGCGCGUGUAGGCGGGACGGCACGUCGGUCGCUGAAAGCCCCCGGCUCAACCGGGGAACGGGCGCCGAUACGACCGCCCUGGAGGGACGUAGGGGGACCUGGAACUUCCGGUGGAGCGGUGAAAUGCGUUGAGAUCGGAAGGAACGCCCGUGGCGAAAGCGAGGUCCUGGACGUUUUCUGACACUGAGACGCGAAAGCCAGGGGAGCGAAUGGG
rnacentral:rRNA from 1 species